AUACGGAGGAUCCGAGCGUUAUCCGGAUUUAUUGGGUUUAAAGGGAGCGUAGGGGGAUUGUUAAGUCAGUUGUGAAAGUUUGCGGCUCAACCGUAAAAUUGCAGGUGAAACUGGCAGUCUUGAGUACAGUAGAGGUGGGCGGAAUUCGAGGUGUAGCGGUGAAAUGCUUAGAUAUCACGAAGAACUCCGAUUGCGAAGGCAGCUCACUAGACUGUUACUGACACUGAUGCUCGAAAGUGUGGGUAUCAAACAGGAUUAGAUACCCUGGUAGUCCACACAGUAAACGAUGAAUACUCGCUGUUUGCGAUAUACAGUAAGCGGCCAAGCGAAAGCAUUAAGUAUUCCACCUGGGGAGUACGCCGGCAACGGUGAAACUUAAAGGAAUUGACGGGG
rnacentral:rRNA from 1 species